UACGGAGGGUGCAAGCGUUGUUCGGAAUUACUGGGCGUAAAGGGCGUGUAGGCGGCGUGGUAAGUCAGAUGUGAAAGCCCUGGGCUUAACCCAGGAAGUGCAUUUGAAACUGCCAUGCUUGAGUAUGGGAGAGGAGAGUGGAAUUCCCAGUGUAGAGGUGAAAUUCGUAGAUAUUGGGAGGAACACCCGUGGCGAAGGCGACUCUCUGGACCAAUACUGACGCUGAGGCGCGAAAGCGUGGGGAGCAAACAGG
rnacentral:rRNA from 1 species